rnacentral:rRNA from 1 species
GAUGAACGCUGGCGGCGUGCCUAAUACAUGCAAGUCGAGCGAACAGAUAAGGAGCUUGCUCCUUUGACGUUAGCGGCGGACGGGUGAGUAACACGUGGGUAACCUACCUAUAAGACUGGGAUAACUUCGGGAAACCGGAGCUAAUACCGGAUAACAUUUGGAACCGCAUGGUUCUAAAGUGAAAGAUGGUUUUGCUAUCACUUAUAGAUGGACCCGCGCCGUAUUAGCUAGUUGGUAAGGUAACGGCUUACCAAGGCAACGAUACGUAGCCGACCUGAGAGGGUGAUCGGCCGCACUGGAACUGAGACACGGUCCAGACUCCUACGGGAGGCAGCAGUAGGGAAUCUUCCGCAAUGGGCGAAAGCCUGACGGAGCAACGCCGCGUGAGUGAUGAAGGGUUUCGGCUCGUAAAACUCUGUUAUUAGGGAAGAACAAAUGUGUAAGUAACUGUGCACGUCUUGACGGUACCUAAUCAGAAAGCCACGGCUAACUACGUG